AAAGGCUCUGAUCCCUAAAUUCAUUUUUACAUUUUUUUUUGUUUUUUUUUUCAUUUUUUUAAUUCCCUAAGCUCUG
rnacentral:ribozyme from 1 species